rnacentral:rRNA from 1 species
UACAGAGGUCCCAAGCGUCGUUCGGAUUCACUGGGCGUAAAGGGUGCGUAGGUGGUGAGGUAAGUCGGAUGUGAAAUCUCCGAGCUCAACUCGGAAAUGGCAUUGGAAACUACCUUGCUCGAGGGUUGGAGGGGGGACUGGAAUGCUUGGUGUAGCAGUGAAAUGCGUAGAUAUCAAGCGGAACACCAGUGGCGAAGGCGAGUCCCUGGACAACUCCUGACACUGAGGCACGAAAGCUAGGGGAGCAAACAGG